UACGAGGGGGGCGAGCGUUGUUCGGAAUUAUUGGGCGUAAAGGGUGCGUAGGCGGUUUGGUCAGUCUGAUGUGAAAUCUAUGGGCUCAACUCAUAGUCUGCAUCGGAAACUGCCGGGCUUGAGUAUGGGAGAGGUGAGUGGAAUUCCUGGUGUAGCGGUGAAAUGCGUAGAUAUCAGGAGGAACACCUGUGGCGAAAGCGGCUCACUGGACCAUAACUGACGCUGAUGCACGAAAGCUAGGGGAGCAAACAGG
rnacentral:rRNA from 1 species